GAUGAACGCUGGCGGCGUGCCUAAUACAUGCAAGUCGAGCGAACAGACGAGGAGCUUGCUCCUCUGACGUUAGCGGCGGACGGGUGAGUAACACGUGGAUAACCUACCUAUAAGACUGGGAUAACUUCGGGAAACCGGAGCUAAUACCGGAUAAUAUAUUGAACCGCAUGGUUCAAUAGUGAAAGACGGUUUUGCUGUCACUUAUAGAUGGAUCCGCGCCGCAUUAGCUAGUUGGUAAGGUAACGGCUUACCAAGGCAACGAUGCGUAGCCGACCUGAGAGGGUGAUCGGCCCCACUGGGACUGAGACACGGUCCAGACUCCUACGGGAGGCAGCAGUAGGGAAUCUUCCGCAAUGGGCGAAAGCCUGACGGAGCAACGCCGCGUGAGUGAUGAAGGUCUUCGGAUCGUAAAACUCUGUUAUUAGGGAAGAACAAAUGUGUAAGUAACUAUGCACGUCUUGACGGUACCUAAUCAGAAAGCCACGGCUAACUACGUG
rnacentral:rRNA from 1 species